GAUGAACGCUGGCGGCGUGCCUAAUACAUGCCAGUCGAGCGAACGGACGAGAAGCUUGCUUCUCUGAUGUUAGCGGCGGACGGGUGAGUAACACGUGGAUAACCUACCUAUAAGACUGGGAUAACUUCGGGAAACCGGAGCUAAUACCGGAUGAUAUUUUGAACCGCAUGGUUCAAAGGUGAAAGACGGUCUUGCUGUCACUUAUAGAUGGAUCCGCGCUGCAUUAGCUAGUUGGUAAGGUAACGGCUUACCAAGGCAACGAUGCAUAGCCGACCUGAGAGGGUGAUCGGCCACACUGGAACUGAGACACGGUCCAGACUCCUACGGGAGGCAGCAGUAGGGAAUCUUCCGCAAUGGGCGAAAGCCUGACGGAGCAACGCCGCGUGAGUGAUGAAGGUCUUCGGAUCGUAAAACUCUGUUAUUAGGGAAGAACAUAUGUGUAAGUAACUGUGCACAUCUUGACGGUACCUAAUCAGAAAGCCACGGCUAACUACGU
rnacentral:rRNA from 1 species